rnacentral:rRNA from 1 species
AUGCCGCUGGGAAAGAAACCGAGGGGCCGACUCUCUCCAUCCGCUCUGGGUGAAGGAGGAUCAGCAGGUCCUUGGAUAUCUACUCCAACACCUAUCCAAGGAGGUGCUCGUCACGGUGACCGCGAUCACCACGGCGCGAGAACUCUGGGUGGCGCUGGCGAGCAUGUUCUCGUCGCAGUCACUCAGCCGCGUCAACAACAGUCGCACGGCGCUGAUCAACACGCAGAAGGGCAACCAAUCGGCAUCCUCCUUCUUCGCCGCCAUGAGGGGGCUUGCUGA